rnacentral:rRNA from 1 species
UGAACCUACGGGGCGCAGCAGUGGGGAAUAUUGCACAAUGGGGGGAACCCUGAUGCAGCGACGCCGCGUGAGUGAAGAAGUAUUUCGGUAUGUAAAGCUCUGUCAGCAGGGAAGAAGAAAGACGGUACCUGACCAAGAAGCCCCGGCUAACUACGUGCCAGCAGCCGCGGUAAUACGUAGGGGGCAAGCGUUAUCCGGAUUUACUGGGUGUAAAGGGAGCGUAGACGGCAGGGCAAGUCUGGAGUGAAAGGCAGGGGCCCAACCCCGGGACUGCUCUGGAA